AGGUGUCUUGGCUAAGGUGUCUUGGCUAAUGUGUCUUGGCUAAUGUGUCGGAGAAUGUGUCUUGGCUAAUGUGUCUUGGCUAAUGUGUCUUGGCUAAUGUGUCUUGGCUAAUGUGUCUUGGCUAAUGUGUCUUGGCUAAGGUGUCUUGGCUAAUGUGUCUUGGCUAAGGUGUCUUGGCUAAUGUGUCUUGGCUAAUGUGUCUUGGCUAAUGUGUCUUGGCUAAGGUGUCUUGGCUAAUGUGUCUUGGCUAAUGUGUCUUGGCUAAGGUGUCUUGGCUAAGGUGUCUUGACUAAGGUGUCUUGGCUAAUGUGUCUUGGCUAAGGUGUCUUGGCUAAUGUGUCUUGGCUAAGGUGUCUUGGCUAAGGUGUCUUGGCUAAUGUGUCUUGGCUAAUGUGUCUUGGCUAAUGUGUCACGGCUAAGGUGUCUUGGCUAAUGUGUCUUGGCUAAUGUGUCUUGGCUAAUGUGUCUUGGCUAAGGUGUCUUGGCUAAUGUGUCUUGGCUAAUGUGUCUUGGCUAAGGUGUCUUGGCUAAGGUGUCUUGACUAAGGUGUCUUGGCUAAUGUGUCUUGGCUAAUGUGUCUUGGCUAAGGUGUUUUCGCUAAUGUGUCUUGGCUAAGGUGUCUUGGCUAAUGUGUCUUGGCUAAGGUGUCUUGGCUAAUGUGUCUUGGCUAAGGUGUCUUGGCUAAGGUGUCUUGGCUAGUGUGUCUUGGCUAAUGUGUCUUGGCUAAUGUGUCUUGGCUAAGGUGUCUUGGCUAAUGUGUCUUGGCUAAUGUGUCUUGGCUAAUGUGUCUUGGCUAAGAUGUCUUGGCUAAUGUGUCUUGGCUAAUGUGUCUUGGCUAAUGUGUCUUGGCUAAUGUGUCUUGGCUAAGGUGUCAUGGCUAAGGUGUCUUGGCUAAUGUGUCUUGGCUAAUGUGUCUUGGCCAAUGUGUCUUGGCUAAGGUGUCUUGGCUAAGGUGUCUUGGCUAAUGUGUCUUGGCUAAUGUGACUUGGCUAAGGUGUCUUGGCUAAUGUGUCUUGGCUAAUGUGUCUUGGUUAAGGUGUCUUGGCUAAUGUGUCUUGGCUAAUGUGUCUUGGCUAAGGUGUCUUCGCUAAUGUGUCUUGGCUAAGCUGUCGUGGCUAAUGUGUCUUGGCUAAGGUGUCUUGGCUAAUGUGUCUUGGCUAAUGUGUCUUCGCUA